rnacentral:lncRNA from 1 species
AUCAGGUCAUCACCUCCAGACGGUACAGGGGUCUUUGACAUGGCGACCUUAGCUGCACACACUGCAGGCGUCUCUGAAACAGGCACAUCGGAAACAGCCUGGAUUCUGGGCACAGAGAGGGACGUUUUCCAGGAGGUAACUUGGAUACAUCCGGUGUGCUUUCUGGGGUGACAAGCCUUUGUGGCUUCCCCUGAACUCUAGGGAAAAGGCAGAAGGUUGAGGCCCUCCUUCAGCCCGUGGGAGGUGCCAGGUCUUCAGUGUUGUGGAGUAGGCAGAGGACAAUUGAACAUUUUACAAAAGGAUGACGCCUUCUUUAUAUUUAAUUUGAUGUCCUCUGUCUUGUUCCCUCUGCAGCUGGGAAUGUGGAUUCCUGGGCUCCGGUUUUCUGUUCUCCUUACAGCCUGGUUGCCAUGCACUGCACGGCUUCAUGCCUCAGUUUCCUCCUCCAUGUGUAGGGUCCCUGGUUUCCAUCCUCCCAGGCCUGAUGGCCUUGGUCUCCCUACAGAUGAGUGGCAAAUGCUACUCAGAUUGUUACUCCAUGCUGAACCACAGCUCAGCUCCGAGAGCUUUCAACAUACUCUUAAGUUCAUAUGUUUCCCUAGCUCUGUGUGUGUGUUUGUGUGCCCAUGUGUGACUCAGGACCACUUUGGUCUCUCUCUGCGCUGGAGCUGGGGCCUAGGUUCCUAUGGGAAGGUGGGAAUUCCAUCCUCCGAGACAAGAUUCGAAGUAAUUAAUGAGAACUUUGCCUGAAAUUGAGGGAAUCAGAAAGGGCAUAGCCACGGCCCCACCCCACCCCUAUUGUUCCCACUGCCUCACCUGUUGCUGACUCCCCUUUCUCCUGGCAUGAUCGCCAUUUCAGAAAGGUACUCACGGCAGGACAGCACCGAUGGACACCUUGCACUGCCUAUGGGCAGCCAGGUUAUACGGUGGCGAUCAGCUGGUGACUUUGCUGCAAAACGUCGUCAAACCCGAGGAGCCUGCCAAGGCAGUGGCAGCCCUGCGAGUCUUCAGGGAUGUGUCCUGCAGAGUGCCCCAGAUGGAGACCUUGAAGAAGGAGGUGAUAAGUUCAGUGGUUCUGCUGAUACAGAAAAAUCCGAGACCUGUCAGACUGCUGCACAUCUGACUCUACGGGCAGACGGAAGGAAAAAGACGGGUCCCAACAGGAGCCUCCCCAGAGCCUUUGCCCAGGCUUCAGAGCAGGCCCCUGAUCCCAUAAACACCUGCCUACUACACUGGUGGAGAUUUGGCCUUCAGGCUCCCCUGCACCUGCUUUUCUGUGAGUGGUGA